UGCAUAUAACUUUGUUGUAACGUUGAAAAAUGAAUGGACAGUUUGCGAAUUACGCGCGUUCGAGAUCGACCCUCUAGCAAGACUUUGCCAUGUAAUAUCCAGAGAAAGAAGGGAAAGAUAGAUAGAGUAGAAAGAUUCUGAAGAUGGUGUAGAGACGAGGUGGCUUGGAUGUUAGAAAGAGAUAGAUAGAUAGAUAGAUAGAUAGAUAGAUAGAUAGACGAAAAGAGAGAAAGAGAGAGAGAGAGAGAGAGAGAGAAGCAGCCGUUAAAGGUGUGAUACGGAACGUCGAGAGAGCACGAGGUGAUAUUUCUCGCAAAGCUGAACCGAAUAAAUUUUUAACAAAAACUGCUGACUCACUACAUUACGCUUCUUUCUCUCCUUCUUUUCUUUACGACCGGCCGCCCGUCGCCUAUCUUUUCCCCGUCCCCGCGCUAUCGUUUCUUCUCUCUUUCUGCCUUUUACUCGAUCUUUUCAGGGCGUAGCUACACACAUAUACACACAUACAUACAUAUAUAUAUAUAUGCAUUUCCAUACAAAGAUACAUACCUACCCUACGUACGUUCGUAACUAUACUCUCGAAUCUCGUCGCUUCUAUCGACAUGCCUCCGAGAUAUUGUUACUACUUUCGAUGGGUACACGUCUAUGUUGUAUCUGCAACAUACGCGUAUACGUGCAUUAUGGAUGUUACGGUGAACGUAAAAAGAAGGAAAGGAGUAUAGUCACGGCAUACCACGAUGGAAUAUACUCAUCGUUUUUCACAAACCGGAUUCCAAAAGUCUACCACCGAAAAUGGCCGGUUCACGUACAUAUACAUAGAUAUACGUAUGUAUUUAUAUAGAUAUUAUACAUAGAUACUUACACAUACACAGAUACACAAUUAUAUAUACAUACAUUUAGCUUCAUUCGCCAGUAAUAUUAUGAAUAAGAUUCCAAAAUGAUGAAACGUAGCGAGAUUCAACGUGUACUCCCUGUUCUGUUACCGGGGGGAGUAAUAUUAUGCAACAUUUCCUGUUCACGUUUAAAGUGUAAUUAACAUAUUCGCCAUUGAAAGCAAACGAGGGCAAAUCCCGAAUGAAGCUAACGGAACGGGAACGGCGGGCCUGGCCGUAUUGGAAGGAAAAACGUUUUACGGAUUGUACCGGGGAAUCUCUCGAAUCGAGAAACAGACGUAACGCCACUGCCGCCGCGCGCGCGAACGAAGAGGAAGAAGGCCAGAUAGCGCGAGAAGGACGGCUAAAAACCCCCUCGAGGUUUCGACUCAGCAUCCCACGAUAUCUACAUCUAUUUUUGGCCACGGUCAGCUGUAGUUGCACGGCAUUAGCAUAAUGAAGACGCGGUUCGUCUCCUCUCCUCUCUUCUUUCAUCCUUCUCUCUAUACUCCGUGUACUAUCUACCUUCUCUCUCUUUCUAUCUAUCUCUCUCUCUCUCUCUCUCUCUCUCUCUCUCUCUUUCUCUCUUUCUCUUUCCAUCUAUCUAUCCAUCUCUAUUGCGUGUGCAGCCUCGUUGUCGUCUCUCCAUCCCUUUCUAUUCCCCCCUCUUCUCCUCCUC